rnacentral:rRNA from 1 species
CCUACGGGGGGCAGCAGUGGGGAAUAUUGCACAAUGGGGGAAACCCUGAUGCAGCGACGCCGCGUGAGCGAAGAAGUAUCUCGGUAUGUAAAGCUCUAUCAGCAGGGAAGAAAAUGACGGUACCUGACUAAGAAGCCCCGGCUAACUACGUGCCAGCAGCCGCGGUAAUACGUAGGGGGCAAGCGUUAUCCGGAUUUACUGGGUGUAACGGGAGCGCAGGCGGCGCGGUAAGUCUGAUGUGAAAGCCCGGGGCUCAACCCCGGGACUGCAUUGGAAACUGGCGUGCUGGAGUGUCGGAGGGGCAAGUGGAAGUCCUAGUGUAGCGGUGAAAUGCGGAGAUAUUAGGAGGAACACCAGUGGCGAAGGCGGAUUGCUGGACGACAACUGACGCUGAGGCUCGAAAGCGUGGGGAGCAAACAGGAUUAGAUACCCGUGUAGUC